GGGCGUGUGGCGGAAUGGCAUACGCAGCGGACUCAAAAUCCGCCGCCCGAGAGGGCUUGAGGGUUCGAGUCCCUCCACGCCCACCA
rnacentral:tRNA from 2 species